AACCCAUGGUGAGGGCAUGUCCAUAAAAGGUCAUUGUAUCUCUCCCAUGCAUUAUAGAGUGUUUCUAAAUCCAUUUGCACAAAAGAAGAGAUAUUAUUACGUAAUUU
rnacentral:snoRNA from 1 species